rnacentral:miRNA from 10 species
UUCAAUUUGAAUUUUAGAGAAAUAAACAAUUGUUUAGUGUAGUUUGUGCCAUGUCAUCUUUGGGACAUACUUAUACAAAAAAUCCUCAUUGUUUAUUUGAAAUUAAGAUUUAACU